GGUAAGUAUAUAAAGAAACUAUUACGGAUAUACAGAGCUAUAUAUUAAAGAUUAUAAACUAAAAUAUUCUUGGAAAAAUCCAUUUUAUAAACGUAGCGAAUUGAAAUAUCUUAGUAGCUUCAGGAAUAAAAAUCAAAUGAGAUUCCAUAAUUAGCUAUAACUGUUAUGGAAAAGCCUUUAAAGUAAAACGGAAAUAAUCUGUUUGAAUUUAGGGAAACCUUUCUCUAAGGCUAAAUAUAAUAUAUAAGCGAUAGCGAAAAAGUACCGUGAGGGAAAUAUUUGAAAUAGUAGUUUUAUAAGCAGCUCAAGUUUAAUUUAAAAGUAUAAUUAGAGCGUACCUUUUGCAUAAUGGGUCAGCAAGUUAAUGUUAGAUGCGAGUAGAGUUCGAAAAGAGUAAAACUAGUAUUAGGAAAGCUUUAUUUUUGAAUAAUUUCUCGAAAAGAGUAAAAGUAAAUUUAAACAGGUUAUUUUUUACUUUUUUCAAAAAAGGAGAAAAGAUGAAAUAAAAAGUAACUAAUAUGAAAUGAAAUGAAUAGGUAAUAGUAUCUCUUACCUAGAUAAACCAAUUAUUAAUUAAUGAUUAAGUAUCUAAUGUUAGACCCGAAGCCUAGUGAUCUUACCAUGAUCAGGGUUAUAAAGGCCCGAACGGGUUAUCGUUGUAAAGAUAUCCGAUGAAUUGUGGUAAGUUAGUGAAAGACAAAACUGACUAGGAUAGCUGGUUUUCUGCGAAACCUAUUUAAGUAGGUAAUGUAAAUAACAUCAUAGCAGGUACAGAACUGUGAUCUCGGACAAAUCAUGUUAUUUUUUGCGCGAAGCGAGAAAGAUAACAUGGUUUUGUAUACAUCGGGGAAUCGUGAAGAUUUUAUCGGCGAGAAUUUGCUCUCGGAAGGGCAAUGAUGGAUUUUGCAUAAUCGGACAUAGUACGAUAAGGUUGUAUGUCUAAAGGGAAACAGCCCAGAACAAGAGUUAAAGGUUCCAAAAUUAUUGUUAAGUGAAAAUAAGGAAGUUUUCUUCAAAUACAACCAGGAAAUAGGCUUAGAAGCGGCCAUUUUUUGAAGACCUCGUAACAGAGCACUGGUUUACAUUUAAAAGUUGAAAGCACCGAAAAUUUAACGGAUCUAAAACAAUAUACCGAAACCUUGUCUAUAAGUAAAUAUAUUUUGAGAUUUAUGUGUGAAAGCACUUGCAAAGCGCUAAAAAGUGCUGAUAAUUAAUUUUUAUCUUAAAUACUGUUUAUUUGUAGGGUAGCAGAACGUUGGGCAUAUCUUAGACUUAGUUUUUUUAUAAUUAAGUAGGUUUAGCGUAAAGAUCGGUAUUAAAAAACACCUAAGUUUAAAUCUAUCUGUUUGAGGUUUAAAAUUUAUUUGUUUGAGGUAUUUAGAGAAUCGUUGAAUAAGAUGACCCCAAGUGAUAAUGCUGGCAUGAGUAACGAAAAAGGGAUAUCCCCUCGCCUUAAGCUUAUGGUAUUUUAAUUAAGUAACGGCCUCUAAGUUUAUAACAGUCCUAAAGGACUAAACGAUGAGAAAGAUCUUAAGAUGUGACCUAACAACAUUUUUUUGUAGACAAUGUUCUGGAAAAAGGCACACAAUAUUAAUAACCAUAAAAAUGGAAUACAUAUAAAUAACCGUACCUAGAUACUACCACAAGUAAGCAAGUAGAGUAUACAAAGGCGUUUGAGUUAACAAUCAUUAAGGAACUCGGCAAAAUGACACCGUAACUUAGGGAUAAGGUGUGCCAUUCUUCUUAAGUAAUAUUAAGUUAAGGAUAGGAGGCAUAGAGUGGUGUUGUACGACUGUUUAAUUAAAACAAAGCACUUUGCAUAAGAUGAUAAAUCAAAGUAUUGAGUGUGAAUUCUGCCCGAUGUUGGCUGGUUAACGAAUUUUCUUAGCCGACUAAAAUAAGCUAGGUUUUGAAGGAAACCCCAAUCAAUGGCGGCCUUACCGAUGAGGGUCCUAAGGUAGCGGAAUACCUUGGCCGUUAAAUGCGGUCUUGCAUGAAUGAUUUAACGAUACAACAGCUGUCUCAAUGAUUGGCUCAGUGAAAUUGGAAUAACUGUGCAGAUACAGUUUACCUCUAGUUAGACGAGAAGACCCUAUGCAGCUUUACUGUUUGUAGUUAUUGGAUACAAUUGAACCAGUUGUAGCGUAUAAGGUAGUUGAUAAGAUACAAUUGAAACACCUUUACUUAGUUUAUUGUAUAAGUAGGAUACUGAUUACUAGUAUUAAUCAGAAAAACUACAAAGCUUAUCCUAUAAAAAGAGAUAUAAGGCACACACGCUUUAUAUUUGGAAACAUUUGCUAUUAGACAGUUUAUGCGGGGCACAGAUCCCACAAAAAGUACCUGGGUGUAUCCAAAGUUAAUUUUGUAAAUUUAUUGGUAAUAUAUUUUUUCCAAUAGAUAAAUAUAUUAUAUAACAAAAGCUUUUGCAAAUAUUGUAUAAUGUAUUAUUUUUUAAUCUGUAAUGUAUUGCUUUCAAUAUAUUCAGUUAUUUAUCUAUUAAGUUAGAUUUAUUUAUUUUUUUUUAAGUAAGAUUUUAACUAUAUGGAAAAUAGAUGUAAAUAAAACACUAACCAUCUUUAGCUAUAUCGCGCGAAGCGAGCGCUUUGCGAGAAAAAGUAGCAAUGUUAAAAGUAGUGUUUUAGUUUAUUUCCUUAAUAUGCUUUUGGUAUUAAGGAAAUGAUUAUUAUUUUACUUUAAAAGUUUAAUGGCUUAAUCUUGCUUUACUGUUUGACUUACACGUCUAUCAGUUGCGUAAGCAGGGCAUAUGAUCACAAGAUGCAUAAAGGAAAGGUCUUGGAUUUUUGAAAAAGCUACGCUAGGGAUAACAGGCUAAUUGCGCCAGAGAGUACAAAUUGAGUGCGCAGUUUGGCACCUCGAUGUCGGCUUAGCUCAUCCACAUGAACGCAGAAAUCAUGAAGGGUUCGACUGUUCGUCGAUUAAAGAGCUACACGAGCUGGGUUAAAUACGUCGUGAGACAGUAUGGUUUCUAUCUUCUAGAGGAAAUUAGAGUAAAAUAAGGAUAGCCCCUUCGUACGAAAGGAGUUGGGUAUGGUAACCUCUGGUUUACCUGUUGUUUAUGUAUCCAAUAUUAUAAAUUUUAUAAAAAUCUAAGAAAAGGAUAUAUAUCGGAAUAUCGAAGUAGAUGAUGUAGACUCACCUUCGGUUUUUAUCAUCCACUAUACAAUAUAUACAUCAUAGGCACGGCAGGAAACCCACGUUAGUUAUAGAUAAGUGCUGAAUGCAUAUAGGCGCGAAGCUUAUCUUAAGAUACUCUUAAAUGUACGUGGUAUAAUACUACGAGUAUUAGUGUGAGCGUAUCACAAAAUGUGCGUUAUACAUUAAUACUGUAUAGGCUUUUUCU
rfam:Metarhizium album ARSEF 1941 scaffold_56, whole genome shotgun sequence.